CGUAGGAUGACACUUGCACCGCCCUCAGAUGGUGGUCCCACUGCUUAGCAUAGCGCUGGCACUCCCAAAACAGAUGGGCUGUGGAUGGCCGCGCAGACAUGUCGGAGUCAGG
rnacentral:lncRNA from 1 species